UACAGAGGGUGCGAGCGUUGUUCGGAAUUAUUGGGCGUAAAGGGCGCGUAGGCGGUGCCACAAGUCACUUGUGAAAUCUCCGGGCUUAACUCGGAGCCUGCAGGCGAAACUGCGUGCUGGAGUGUGGGAGAGGUGCGUGGAAUUCCCGGUGUAGCGGUGAAAUGACGUAGAUAUCGGGGAGGAACACCAGUGGCGAAGGCGGCGUCUGGGAAGAUACUGACGCUGAGGUGCGAAAGCGGUGGGGAGCAAACAGG
rnacentral:rRNA from 1 species